ensembl:lncRNA
AUGCAUGGCCGGCCUGAGCGCCUCCAGCAGCUCCACCGUCCUGUCACCGCCCCCGUCAGUCACAUCCACUCGGAGCGGAGCGGGAUGCGGGGGUCCGCACUCCUGCUCCGUCAGCUUGACCUGCUUUAAAACGCCACCAUCAUCACACCGAAAGAGCCCGUUACUGCUGAGCUCUGGCUUCCCAUUCACGGCACUAACCCCCCCACCACCCCCCCAACCCCUGAAAGCGCCACUCACUGCAGCCUGAUAACAGCAGGUGUCUGGGUGGCAUUCAAGCAGCUGCCUGUGGUCUGCGUUCAUGCAGAAUAGCUCGGUCCCGGCGUCCUCUCUGCUCCAUUUUCUCAUUCUUCUCCCUACUCCCCCUUUCACAGAUCCACUCAUUUACCCUCUUCCCUGUCCACCUGCCUGGGAAAUCUUUAUUAAAUCCUCCUUCAAACGCUCGUGAGCACUGACUUCCCUUGACAAAGUCACUUCAGCCUGUAUAGUCUUCAGCUGAGUGCCUUUCAGCACCAUUUAACCGCACGCUGAGAUGGGACUAAUAUUUACAGCAGUCAGCGAGUUUAUUAUGGAUGAUAUUGCUUUGGAAGCUGCUGUUUCCAUAGAAUUUCUUUAACAUCACAUCUCUUGAGAUAGCUUCUAUAAGGCAAGGUGCGAGAGUGGCCGACUCCUUCCACGUCCCCACGGAGCCCGAAAGGAGCCGCCGAACCCGCCGAAGUUCACGGGCUGGAUUAAAACUCGCUGUCUUCUCGCCGGCACCCCAGAGUACAAUGCAUAUGCGAAGAAGUUCUCCCUCCGCUGAAAUUAUGUGACCGGAAUGCGAGAGCGCCGGCUGACCCAGUUUCUCUAUUAUCACGAAAUGUUGAACAUGCAAAAAAAUGGGAAGAUGAGCCUUAAAAUGAGAAGACCCAGAAUAUCCUUGAGGCAUGUGGCUGGAAUGAAAUCUACCCAACCCAGGCAAUCUGCUUGCCGGGGAAGAAGACAUUUAACUCUUUCUGAUAUAUUCAUGCUCCACUCGAGCACAGAGCACCUGCCUUCAUCUCGUCGCUGCCUUCACUUGCUUCUUGGCUUCCUGUGCGGAUGGCUGCUGUCCCACGGGCCCUCUGGCACUGCAGGUAAUGGAAUCGUGAGCGUCAUCAGCUUUGACCAGGUGGACGCUCUCAUGUGGAUCAGCUGAUAAGGCGACGUCAGAUAGGUGAAGCUCUGAUGCCGUCAAAAAGGAAUGGUAUAUAUUUUUUUAACACAUCUCAGGCAGCUGCCAGCUUUUUAAUUUCAGACAGUCGGUUCUCAUCGCCUGCAGUGCAAUUACACAAUGAUUUAAUAGUGCAAUUAAAAUACUGUCAAGGGUUUUCACUCGUGUUUGCAUUUGAAUUCCAUUGUUGGCAGCCUAAAAGGCAGUCGUACGCAUUUGGGCCGAGAUUGUGCUGUCACACAGCUGGCGAAGCUGGCAUUACAUCAAAAUGAUGAAUCAAGCGCUCCCUCAGAACCUCGUAAAACGGUGGCUGCGGAGCGAGUGCGGCAGCUCAGCAGGCCGCUCGGCUCUGGUGCUGCUGAGGUGCGACCCGGUGCACAGGAGCCGAGUCGGAACCACGCCGCACGUCGAAUACCGCCCAAAAAAGGACCAGAGGAAACGAGUAUGUUUAACAAGCAAAGCUGCAAAUAUCAGCAGGUAAGUUAAGACCAUCGAACUGGCCUUUUGAAUGGAUCACACGAAGGUCCAAGAUGUUCCACCAUUAGAAACUUAAACGUUUAAUGUUUUAAUACAAGUGAUUUAAAAUCCAGCUGGAUAGUGGAUUUCAACCACAUAAACCUAAAAAAAAAAAACUUUUGUCUGCCUGGUCUGUUACUUUAAGUAUUUUUUGUGUGAGUGAAAUUUGCUUUGUUGGAAUUAUUACGCACACAUUAGCCCCAAAUCCGACGUUAUUACAGACUUAAUGGACAGAGAUUAUGUUGUCAGAGCGGGAAGGAGGCGGAUCAGGACGCUGCCUGCGCGUCCCGGCGCCCGCAUACGCGCGACUGUGCUCCGCUUCCUGUGGAUCCAGCUGUAGGUUCCGCCGUGCAUCCGCGCUCCUCUCGCUUACGUUGCUCCUUUCACCGCAGAUGGUGCCAACUGCAACGGUUUGACUCAUGUUUCAUAAAGCCAGGCCAAUUUUUGAAAACACAUUCUUUGACGCACUCGCUGUGAAUGAGUUAGAUGAAAGCGUUUGGGAGGCUAAUUCACUUUGCAUCAUAGAAACUCAGGGUCCAAUUUGCGACAGGGAGCACUGAUGGGAGCCUUAGGUUUCCUUGCCGCAGUAGGAGGCUGGUAUCAUGAUUAAUUUAGGCUUGUUUUGUCAGUGCAGGAAGCCACAAAAAAGCUCAUUACAAUCAGCUGGGUUUUGUCACAGUCCUGGCUCCCUGUAAUCUCCCAUAGAGAAGCAGAGCGAUAGAGCCCCUCUCAAUAUGCAUUGAUGAUGAUUGCAUGAUUUAUGCAUGAGCGUCAUGGCACCUUAAGACGAUCCCGCCCAACACAAGUCCUUGAAAUUCUGAAAUUAGAGCUUUUGUGCCUCUGCUCCAAACGUGUUUGUUUUAGGCACUCGACUGCAUCGCUCGCGGGGCCAUUCUGGAAUGUGUCGGAACACAACUGAAUAAGUGUUUAGCGUGGAGGGAUCAGAUGACAGUAGUGCGUUUGUUGGGAUAUUUACCAAAUGCUUGUACAAAGUCACCAGGAAGCAUGUUGCGAUGCCGUCACGCUUCCUUUCAGGCGACUCUCAAUAGUUGCAUGCGUCUGUUUGACUUUGGGCCUCUUAAGUGCUGCAUUGAAGCCGUCGUAAUUGCCCGGCUCGUGUUAAGGCAGUGAUUGAUGCUUGGGCGAGAGUCACGGGAGCGAUGGGCGCGUUGACCUUUCUGUGAGCUCCUUUAAUGCGGCCGUUGACCCUUCGAUAGACGCACACAGCUGCUGCUGCAUCGUGCCCCAGAGGUUUCCUCUGAUAAACGAUGCUGAUGAUGAUGAUGAUGAUGAUGAUGAUGAUGAUGAUGAUGAUGAUGAUGAUGAUGCACUGUUUCGCUGACUCCUUCCAACAGGUUGUCUCAACAGUGGCUGACUUUUAAAUACAACCGUCUUCUGGUGCUUGCAGUGCUGGGUCUUUGUAAACAUGCCCCUAAAUGCAUGAGACACAUAAACGUCAGCCUGAUAAUAUAAACCAGCCUGAAAAAAUAAACACAAUGUUGUGAUGUAAUAUAAUGAUUAA